rnacentral:rRNA from 1 species
AGGAUAGGGUGAGCGGCCUACUGGAUGGCCGUCCAAGCAGUAAGCCUGGUGUGUAGGCAAAUCCGCACACCAUAAGGGCAAGCUGUGAUGGCGAGGGAAAUUUUAGUACCGAAGUCCCUGAUUUCACACUGCCAAGAAAAGCGUCUAGCGAGGAACAAGGUGCCCGUACCGCAAACCGACACAGGUAGGCGAGGAGAGAAUCCUAAGGUGCGCGGGAUAACUCUUGCUAAGGAACUCGGCAAAAUGGCCCCGUAGCUUCGGGAGAAGGGGCGCCCCGGUAGGGUUUAUAGCCCGAGGGGGCCGCAGUGAAAAGGCCCAAGCGACUGUUUAGCAAAAACACAGGUCUCUGCGAAGCCGCAAGGCGAAGUAUAGGGGCUGACGCCUGCCCGGUGCUGGAAGGUUAAGGGGAUGGGUU